AGUAAAAGUCGUAACAAGGUUUCCGUAGGUGAACCUGCGGAAGGAUCAUUAACGAAUUUCUCAAGGUUGCUUUUGCGUGGUGCGGUCUUCCGCAUAGCGUUGAACGUGACUCUUGAGCAUUUCACACAUCCCCUGUGCACCUUAAGAGGGUAACGGUUCUGUCUUGAGCGCUGCAAAGUGCUCGAUAGGAUAUGUUGCCUUCUCUUUCACAAAAUCAAAAGUCUAGAAUGUUUGAUAAUAUUAAAUAAAAUAACUUUCAACAACGGAUCUCUUGGCUCUCGCAUCGAUGAAGAACGCAGCGAAAUGCGAUAAGUAAUGUGAAUUGCAGAAUUCAGUGAAUCAUCGAAUCUUUGAACGCACCUUGCGCUCCUUGGUAUUCCGAGGAGCAUGCCUGUUUGAGUGUCUUGAUAAUCUCAAGUCAACAAUUUAGUUUAUCUGAAAUGUUGAUUUGGACUUGGAGGUUGUGCUGAUCUUUGUAUUGGCUCCUCUUAAAUGCAUUAGCUGGAUUACUAUCAGUAAUAGUCCAUGGUGUUGUAAUCUCGGCGCUGUGACUUAACUGAAUGACGAUCUGCUUCUAGUGUAAUUGCUUCUGGCAAUAUUUGUACACUUGACCUCAAAUCAGGUAGGACUACCCGCUGAACUUAAGCAUAUCAAUAAGCGGAGGAAAAGAAACUAACAAGGAUUCCCCUAGUAACUGCGAGUGAAGCGGGAAAAGCUCAAAUUUAAAAUCUGGUGGUCUUGGCCAUCCGAGUUGUAGUCUAGAGAAGCGUU
rnacentral:rRNA from 1 species